rnacentral:rRNA from 1 species
GAUGAACGCUGACAGAAUGCUUAACACAUGCAAGUCGGACGAGUGGCGAACGGGUGAGUAAUAUAUUGGAACGUACCGAGUAAUGGGUGAUAACCAAUCGAAAGAUUGGCUAAUACCGCCUAUUAUUCGAGCGGCCUAUAUCUGAUUAGCUAGUUGGUGGGGUAAAGGCCUACCAAGGCGACGAUAACGAGCGGGUCUGAGAGGAAAAUCACGCCCACUGGCAAUUGGAACCGGCCGAGACGCCUACGUGAGGCAGCAGUGGGGAAUUUUGGAAAGUGGGCGCCAGCCUGCUCCAGCCAUGCCGCGUGUCUGAAGAAGACCUUCGGGUUGUAAAGGACUUUUGUUAGGGAAGCGGUACCUACAGAAUAUGCACCGGCUAACUACGUGCCAGCAGCCGCGGUAAUAG